GGCUUGCCCGAACAGAUCACAAAAUAAAUUUUACUCUUUCACCGCUGCUACUUUCCCAGUAAACUUUAUGUAAGGGACAUACAAACCCUAAAGUAUUAUCACUUAGUUUUGUUACAACCUCUAUUGUUAUCAGUAUAAUUCG